ACAUGCCUACAACAUAGCGUUAAUGCAUUAGAUCCCAUUAGAACUCCACAGUUAAGCGUGCUCAGGCUAUAGUAGUAUUAGGAUGGGUGACCGCCCGAGAAGUCCUAUUAUUUUACAUGCC
rnacentral:rRNA from 1 species